ensembl:lncRNA
GAUUAACUGAAAUUAACUGUGAAGUGAUUUUAGAAAUAUAUAUGUUAUACGGCAAAUCAUAUAAAACUAAAGUUACUGAAUAUUCUUGCAUUUUUUCCGACUUUAUCUACAAUCCUGGUGCACUUGUCUCACAACCAAAUACAAAUAUAGUUUUAGUACAAUAUUAUAUUGGUCAGUGAUUUUUUAGUACCUGCACUCUCUCUGUGUUGUCUUACACUCUGCAUGGUUAUGCAAUUGAUCUGUGACCAAAUCUGCAGGAAAUUAUAGCAGUGAUAUUUCUAUUAAUACAAUAUCAUUUUAUCCUAUUAUCCUGUUAUCUUCCUUCUCUGGCUAAACUUUGACAUUUUCAUGCAACAGACUUUAGCAUUCAGACAAGAUUUCCCCAUGUUUCUCAAAAUACACAGCCCGUGUUGAAAUACACUGUGAGCAGGGCCACUUUAAGUUAGAUGUCUCAUUAAUUACCCGCUUUAUUCUCAGGUUACCCCCUCCCCCCCACACACACAUAAAAAAAACAAACAAAAAAAACACCCAGCACGCCCCUGCGGGCGGUUUAUCCUUCAAGCUCGGGUCCUCUACCAGAGGCCUGGGAGCUUGAGGGUCCUGCGCAGUAUCUUAGCUGUUCCCAGGACUGUGCUCUUCUGGACAGAGAUCUCCGAUGUUAUUCCCGGGAUCUGCUGGAGCCACUCGCCUAGCUUGGGAGUCACUGCACCUAGUGCUCCGAUUACCAGGGGGACCACCGUUACCUUCACCCUCCACAUCCUCUCGAGCUCUUCUCUGAGCCCUUGGUAUUUCUCCAGCUUCUCGUGUUCCUUCUUCCUGAUAUUGCUGUCAUUCGGAACCGCUACAUCGAUCACUACGGCCGUCUUCUUCUGUUUGUCUACCACCACUAUGUCCGGUUGGUUAGCCACCACCAUUUUGUCCGUCUGUAUCUGGAAGUCCCACAGGAUCUUAGCUCGGUCAUUCUCCACCACCCUUGGGGGCAUCUCCCAUUUUGACCUCGGGACUUCCAGGUUAUACUCGGCACAGAUGUUCCUGUACACUAUGCCGGCCACUUGGUUAUGGCGUUCCAUGUAUGCCUUGCCUGCUAGCAUCUUGCACCCUGCUGUUAUGUGCUGGAUUGUCUCUGGGGCAUCUUUACACAGCCUGCACCUGGGGUCUUGCCUGGUGUGAUAGACCCCAGCCUCUA